CGGAAUGUGGGGUAAUGGCCGCCCGCGUGGUUUGGGACCACGUCUACGCAGGUUCGAUUCCUGCCGUUCCGA
rnacentral:tRNA from 1 species